rnacentral:rRNA from 1 species
CCUACGGGUGGCAGCAGUGGGGGAUAUUGCACAAUGGGGGGAACCCUGAUGCCGCGACGCCGCUUGGGUGAAGAAGCGCCUCGGCGCGUACAGCCCUUUCAGCAGGGAAGAAAAUGACGGUACCUGACGAAUAAGCCCCUGCUAACUACGUGCCAGCAGCCGCGGUAAUACGUAGGGGGCAAGCGUUAUCCGGAUUUACUGGGGGUAAAGGGGGCGCAGACGGCGAUGCAAGCCAGGAGUGAAAGCCCGGGGCCCAACCCCGGGACUGCGCGUGGAACUGCGUGGCUGGAGUGCAGGAGGGGCAGGCGGAAUUCCUGGUGUAGCGGUGAAAUGCGGAGAUAUCAGGAGGAACACCGGUGGCGAAGGCGGCCUGCUGGACUGCAACUGACGUUGAGGCCCGAAAGCGUGGGGAGCAAACAGGAUUAGAUACCCUUGUAGUC